rnacentral:ncRNA from 1 species
GACCACGUUGAUAGGCCGGGUGUGGAAGUGCGGCAACGCAUGAAGCUUACCGGUACUAAUAGCUCGAUCGGCUUGAUCAU